AUAACGUAGCGAAAGUUACGCUAAAUACCGCAUACGCACUGAGGUGGAAAGCAGGGGAUCGCAAGACCUUGCGCUAUACGAGCGGCCGAUGUCAGAUUAGCUAGUUGGUAGGGUAAAAGGCCUACCAAGGCGACGAUCUGUAGCGGGUCUGAGAGGAUGAUCCGCCACACUGGGACUGAGACACGGCCCAGACUCCUACGGGAGGCAGCAGUGGGGAAUUUUGGGACAAUGGGCGGAAGCCUGAUCCAGCCAUGCCGCGUGAGUGAAGAAGGCCUUCGGGUUGUAAAGCUCUUUUGGCUGGGAAGAAAUCGCACAGGCUAAUACUCUGUGUGGAUGACGGUACCAGCACAAGAAGCACCGGCUAACUACGUG
rnacentral:rRNA from 1 species